UGGGGAAUAUUGCACAAUGGGCGAAAGCCUGAUGCAGCGACGCCGCGUGAAGGAUGAAGUAUUUCGGUAUGUAAACUUCUAUCAGCAGGGAAGAAAAUGACGGUACCUGACUAAGAAGCCCCGGCUAACUACGUGCCAGCAGCCGCGGUAAUACGUAGGGGGCAAGCGUUAUCCGGAUUUACUGGGUGUAAAGGGAGCGCAGGCGGUGCGGCAAGUCUGAUGUGAAAGCCCGGGGCUCAACCCCGGUACUGCAUUGGAAACUGUCGUACUAGAGUGUCGGAGGGGUAAGUGGAAUUCCCGGUGUAGCGGUGGAAUGCGUAGAUAUCGGGAGGAACACCAGUGGCGAAGGCGGCCUACUGGGCACCAACUGACGCUGAGGCUCGAAAGUGUGGGUAGCAAACAGGAUUAGAUACCCUGGUAGUCCACACCGUAAACGAUGAUUACUAGGUGUUGGAGGAUUGACCCCUUCAGUGCCGCAGUUAACACAAUAAGUAAUCCACCUGGGGAGUACGACCGCAAGGUUGAAACUCAAAGGAAUUGACGGGGGCCCGCACAAGCAGUGGAGUAUGUGGUUUAAUUCGACGCAACGCGAAGAACCUUACCAAGUCUUGACAUCCCUUGACGAUGCUGGAAACAGUAUUUCUCUUCGGAGCAAGGAGACAGGUGGUGCAUGGUUGUCGUCAGCUCGUGUCGUGAGAUGUUGGGUUAAGUCCCGCAACGAGCGCAACCCUUAUGGUCAGUUACUACGCAAGAGGACUCUGGCCAGACUGCCGUUGACAAAACGGAGGAAGGUGGGGAUGACGUCAAAUCAUCAUGCCCUUUAUGACUUGGGCUACACACGUACUACAAUGGCGUUAAACAAAGAGAAGCAAGACCGCGAGGUGGAGCAAAACUCAGAAACAACGUCCCAGUUCGGACUGCAGGCUGCAACUCGCCUGCACGAAGUCGGAAUUGCUAGUAAUCGUGGAUCAGCAUGCCACGGUGAAUACGUUCCC
rnacentral:rRNA from 1 species